UACGUAGGGGGCAAGCGUUGUCCGGAUUUAUUGGGCGUAAAGAGCGUGUAGGCGGCCAGGUAGGUCUGCUGUGAAAACUCGAGGCUCAACCUCGAGAUGUCGGCGGAAACCACUUGGCUAGAGUCCGGAAGAGGAGAGUGGAAUUCCUGGUGUAGCGGUGAAAUGCGCAGAUAUCAGGAAGAACACCUAUGGCGAAGGCAGCUCUCUGGGACGGUACUGACGCUGAGACGCGAAAGCGUGGGGAGCGAACAGG
rnacentral:rRNA from 1 species